AUUGAACGCUGGCGGCAGGCUUAACACAUGCAAGUCGAGCGGGGGAAGGUAGCUUGCUACCGGACCUAGCGGCGGGCGGGUGAGUAAUGCUUAGGAAUCUGCCUAUUAGUGGGGGACAACAUCUCGAAAGGGAUGCUAAUACCGCAUACGUCCUACGGGAGAAAGCAGGGGAUCUUCGGACCUUGCGCUAAUAGAUGAGCCUAAGUCGGAUUAGCUAGUUGGUGGGGUAAAGGCCUACCAAGGCGACGAUCUGUAGCGGGUCUGAGAGGAUGAUCCGCCACACUGGGACUGAGACACGGCCCAGGCUCCUACGGGAGGCAGCAGUGGGGAAUAUUGGACAAUGGGGGGAACCCUGAUCCAGCCAUGCCGCGUGUGUGAAGAAGGCCUUAUGGUUGUAAAGCACUUUAAGCGAGGAGGAGGCUACUCUAGUUAAUACCUAGGGAUAGUGGACGUUACUCGCAGAAUAAGCACCGGCUAACUCUGUGCCAGCCGCCGCGGUAA
rnacentral:rRNA from 1 species